CUUAGGAAGUGGCAAAACAGCUUUGGAAAUACUUGUGCAUGCUUUGAAUGAACUAGGACUGUAUAACUUUUAAAAAUGUAUUUGCACAUUGUUAUAUCCUUACACAUGCAACAAAAAUGCACAGAAAUUAUUAUUUUUAUAUGCAGGCUUAACUGAAAGCCAUCAUUUAAUAUGUCAUGAACACAGUGUAUAGCCGUGAGCUUAACUAAAAAACCUACAGGAAAAAAACUGUGCACAACCAAAAGUAUUGUGAAACGUUUGGCGGGAAAAUGGCACAUAAAUAUCUAUAUGGAUGACCUUUUGUUCCUUAGGAAUUUACCAGUGAUUCCAAUAGAGAUGUUGCAUGGACCGUGAGGAUAUGGGAAUGUUGAUUAAAAAUGCUAUACUUUGACAUCUGAACAAUAACUUAUCAUCAGAGUCAUCAGUGAUUCGCAUUGCAGGAAGAACUUUACUACAAACAAAAACGUGGGGGCAGGCACUAUGCACGUCAUUAUCAUAAUGGAGCACUUGACAAAAACACAUGCAUUGAUGCUGAUUUUAUGCCUGCAUCUUUGCUGUGCACUACAAAAUGGAAAGUGCAACUUUACAGUGGCAAUGGUGCAUACUGCUGGAAAAGUCACUUGCUUCAAGAUGAUGGAUGGACAUGUCCCAAUUUGCAUGUCUGGUGGUCAAACAUCUCAAUCAUGUGACAUUGCGUACAAAGAUGGGAUGACGUGUAUAAAGUGGCCAGCAGACAUCGAACUCACAUGUGUGAACGAUUCUGAUGAGAUGCAUAAGCUCAAUAUUGAAGAAAACAAGUGUGCCCAUGACCAAGAAUGUGAGUCAAAAGCAGUCAUUUUUUAUUUAGUUAUAAUGUACUUCAUCAUGAAGUAGGUAUUUAUUGAAUGUUUAUAUUUCUUUAAGCUAUUAGUUGCAAUGGAGAGUACAAAUCUGGUAAGUUUAUUUAAUCAAAGUUUUUUUGAUUAAUUUAAGCUCAUGUUUUUUAAACAAACAAAUUGCAUGACUGCACCCUGAAGUCAAUUAAUUGUUUUUUCCCCCAGAGCUUAGAAAUUCUGCAUCAACCCUGUCAUUGAGUAAGAAUGCAAAACAAUUAUAUGCUACAAGUUUGCAUCCAUCAUAAAAGAAUUCCACAUGUUCAUAUAUUGUAUGUAAACUAUUGAUCCUUUUGUUUUUUGCAGGCAUUCUUCUAAUUACUACCAUUGUCCACUGGGUGUCACUAUGGCACUACUAAUAUAGUAAUAUAGUGUAUAGUUCUGAGACACAUUACUCAAACUUAAAAAUAAUAAUAACAAUAAUAAUGUGUUCGAAUAAACCAUUUUUAUAUAUAUAUAAAAAAACUAUG
ensembl:lncRNA